AUGUCUCCAUCCUUCUCUACACAACCAGAACCAACUAUUUAUUAUAAAUUAUCGGCAAAAUAUCAAGAUCAAUAUGAAUACCUUCAAAAUUUUUCAUCUAAAUCACGUGAGGGACUAGCAAAGAGGAUCGUGCAUGAAGUUCAUGAAUUGUUUGAUUUCAAUCAAGUGUUUGAUUCUCAUCAUGCUAGUGGAGUUGGAGAAUGUGUUUCUCAUUGCUUCACUUUGCAUCUUAGAAUUGUCGUGGAGAAAUAA